AUGAACGCUGGCGGCGUGCCUAAUACAUGCAAGUCGAGCGAACAGAUGAGGAGCUUGCUCCUCUGACGUUAGCGGCGGACGGGUGAGUAACACGUGGAUAACCUACCUAUAAGACUGGGAUAACUUCGGGAAACCGGAGCUAAUACCGGAUAAUAUAUUGAACCGCAUGGUUCAAUAGUGAAUGACGGUUUUGCUGUCACUUAUAGAUGGAUCCGCGCCGCAUUAGCUAGUUGGUAAGGUAACGGCUUACCAAGGCGACGAUGCGUAGCCGACCUGAGAGGGUGAUCGGCCACACUGGAACUGAGACACGGUCCAGACUCCUACGGGAGGCAGCAGUAGGGAAUCUUCCGCAAUGGGCGAAAGCCUGACGGAGCAACGCCGCGUGAGUGAUGAAGGUCUUCGGAUCGUAAAACUCUGUUAUUAGGGAAGAACAAAUGUGUAAGUAACUAUGCACGUCUUGACGGUACCUAAUCAGAAAGCCACGGCUAACUACGUG
rnacentral:rRNA from 1 species